GGGUUGUGAGGUUAAGCGACUAAGCGUACACGGUGGAUGCCCUGGCAGUCAGAGGCGAUGAAGGGCGUGCUAAUCUGCGAUAAGCGCCGGUAAGGUGAUAUGAACCGUUAUAACCGGCGAUACCCGAAUGGGGAAACCCAGUGUGACUCGUCACACUAUCAUUAACUGAAUCCAUAGGUUAAUGAGGCGAACCGGGGGAACUGAAACAUCUAAGUACCCCGAGGAAAAGAAAUCAACCGAGAUUCCCCCAGUAGCGGCGAGCGAACGGGGAGGAGCCCAGAGCCUGAAUCAGCAUGUGUGUUAGUGGAAGCGUCUGGAAAGGCGCGCGAUACAGGGUGACAGCCCCGUACACAAAAGCGCAUGUGCUGUGAGCUCGAUGAGUAGGGCGGGACACGUGGUAUCCUGUCUGAAUAUGGGGGGACCAUCCUCCAAGGCUAAAUACUCCUGACUGACCGAUAGUGAACCAGUACCGUGAGGGAAAGGCGAAAAGAACCCCGGCGAGGGGAGUGAAAAAGAACCUGAAACCGUGUACGUACAAGCAGUGGGAGCCCCACCACUAAGCCAGUGGUGAACUACACAUACGCAUCCUUUGCUGAGGAUACGGUUAACGGAGCGAAAGCGACGUUCAACCGCAAAAGAAGCAGAGGGGGCUUAGUGGUGGGGUGACUGCGUACCUUUUGUAUAAUGGGUCAGCGACUUAUAUUCUGUAGCAAGGUUAACCGAAUAGGGGAGCCGGAGGGAAACCGAGUCUUAACCGGGCGUUAAGUUGCAGGGUAUAGACCCGAAACCCGGUGAUCUAGCCAUGGGCAGGUUGAAGGUUGGGUAACACUAACUGGAGGACCGAACCGACUAAUGUUGAAAAAUUAGCGGAUGACCUGUGGCUGGGGGUGAAAGGCCAAUCAAACCGGGAGAUAGCUGGUUCUCCCCGAAAGCUAUUUAGGUAGCGCCUCGUGAAUUCAUCUCCGGGGGUAGAGCACUGUUUCGGCUAGGGGGCCAUCCCGGCUUACCAACCCGAUGCAAACUGCGAAUACCGGAGAAUGUUAUCACGGGAGACACACGGCGGGUGCUAACGUCCGUCGUGAAGAGGGAAACAACCCAGACCGCCAGCUAAGGUCCCAAAGUCAUGGUUAAGUGGGAAACGAUGUGGGAAGGCCCAGACAGCCAGGAUGUUGGCUUAGAAGCAGCCAUCAUUUAAAGAAAGCGUAAUAGCUCACUGGUCGAGUCGGCCUGCGCGGAAGAUGUAACGGGGCUAAACCAUGCACCGAAGCUGCGGCAGCGACACUGUGUGUUGUUGGGUAGGGGAGCGUUCUGUAAGCCUGUGAAGGUGGCCUGUGAGGGUUGCUGGAGGUAUCAGAAGUGCGAAUGCUGACAUAAGUAACGAUAAAGCGGGUGAAAAGCCCGCUCGCCGGAAGACCAAGGGUUCCUGUCCAACGUUAAUCGGGGCAGGGUGAGUCGACCCCUAAGGCGAGGCCGAAAGGCGUAGUCGAUGGGAAACGGGUUAAUAUUCCCGUACUUGGUGUUACUGCGAAGGGGGGACGGAGAAGGCUAUGUUGGCCGGGCGACGGUUGUCCCGGUUUAAGCGUGUAGGUGUGUGUUCCAGGUAAAUCCGGUUCACUUUAACACUGAGGCGUGACGACGAGGCACUACGGUGCUGAAGCAACAAAUGCCCUGCUUCCAGGAAAAGCCUCUAAGCAUCAGGUAACAUCAAAUCGUACCCCAAACCGACACAGGUGGUCAGGUAGAGAAUACCAAGGCGCUUGAGAGAACUCGGGUGAAGGAACUAGGCAAAAUGGUGCCGUAACUUCGGGAGAAGGCACGCUGACAUGUAGGUGAAGUGAUUUACUCAUGGAGCUGAAGUCAGUCGAAGAUACCAGCUGGCUGCAACUGUUUAUUAAAAACACAGCACUGUGCAAACACGAAAGUGGACGUAUACGGUGUGACGCCUGCCCGGUGCCGGAAGGUUAAUUGAUGGGGUCAGCGCAAGCGAAGCUCCUGAUCGAAGCCCCGGUAAACGGCGGCCGUAACUAUAACGGUCCUAAGGUAGCGAAAUUCCUUGUCGGGUAAGUUCCGACCUGCACGAAUGGCGUAAUGAUGGCCAGGCUGUCUCCACCCGAGACUCAGUGAAAUUGAACUCGCUGUGAAGAUGCAGUGUACCCGCGGCAAGACGGAAAGACCCCGUGAACCUUUACUAUAGCUUGACACUGAACAUUGAGCCUUGAUGUGUAGGAUAGGUGGGAGGCUUUGAAGCGUGGACGCCAGUCUGCGUGGAGCCGACCUUGAAAUACCACCCUUUAAUGUUUGAUGUUCUAACGUGGACCCGUGAUCCGGGUUGCGGACAGUGUCUGGUGGGUAGUUUGACUGGGGCGGUCUCCUCCUAAAGAGUAACGGAGGAGCACGAAGGUUGGCUAAUCCUGGUCGGACAUCAGGAGGUUAGUGCAAUGGCAUAAGCCAGCUUGACUGCGAGCGUGACGGCGCGAGCAGGUGCGAAAGCAGGUCAUAGUGAUCCGGUGGUUCUGAAUGGAAGGGCCAUCGCUCAACGGAUAAAAGGUACUCCGGGGAUAACAGGCUGAUACCGCCCAAGAGUUCAUAUCGACGGCGGUGUUUGGCACCUCGAUGUCGGCUCAUCACAUCCUGGGGCUGAAGUAGGUCCCAAGGGUAUGGCUGUUCGCCAUUUAAAGUGGUACGCGAGCUGGGUUUAGAACGUCGUGAGACAGUUCGGUCCCUAUCUGCCGUGGGCGCUGGAGAACUGAGGGGGGCUGCUCCUAGUACGAGAGGACCGGAGUGGACGCAUCACUGGUGUUCGGGUUGUCAUGCCAAUGGCACUGCCCGGUAGCUAAAUGCGGAAGAGAUAAGUGCUGAAAGCAUCUAAGCACGAAACUUGCCCCGAGAUGAGUUCUCCCUGAGACUUUAGGUCUCCUGAAGGAACGUUGAAGACGACGACGUUGAUAGGCCGGGUGUGUAAGCGCAGCGAUGCGUUGAGCUAACCGGUACUAAUGAACCGUGAGGCUUAACCUUACAACGCCGAAGCUGUU
rnacentral:rRNA from 1 species